CAGCCCCCGAUCCGGCUGGUGGUGAUGCAGCAGGGCUCCCCUGGCACUCGCUGGGCAAAGGGGCUCGUCUCUGCCUACGAGAACCCUGCUGAUCUGCCUGGGAAAAGGACUACAGUUGUGUGAGGAACCCUGUCUGGAGCUCCAGUUCCUGCCUCUCUGCUAUGUUUGCUCCCUGUGUGCAGAAGGAUAUCGCAAUCCCCAGCAACAGGAAGUUACACUGGUUUGAGAUCUGUGUCCACAGAACAAAGGCGGAAAAACAAGCUUUGAAAACAGUGAGGAGAAAAACUGUGACACAUUUCCAAGUAGAGUCUAGAUCAAAUGUCCAAGGCAGCAGGGAAGGAAAUGAAAACAACAGUGGCUUGGGAGAAGGCAGAAGAAACAGUUCCAAGAGGACCAGAGGGAAUGAGAGAUAGAGACAAGAUACAACACCUCUGUGUGCACCUUUGAAGGUGUCAGUGCACUCUUUUUACGGGAGCCAGCCCAGCUUUUUGCCAGAGUCACAAAGCAGCCAGCCUUCCAGUCAUGGUGUGCACAUGUUCCAGAACAUUUCUACAGCCUGAAAGAGCAAACUACUGGGGAAGUUGCAGAGGAAUGCAAGGAUGGGUGUGUGACACUGAGCAGGAAGGCAGCUGCAUCACCACAAUCCCUACAUCAAUAUAAAACCAGGAUAUUGGGAUGCUGCUGGCACUUCAGCUGUUGAAAUGCAGCUGUGUGAAGGCUCUUCAACAGCAUCCUCAAACUUUGCUCCUUUUGGAUUAACAGAUAACAUAGGCAAUAUGAAACUUUAUUACCAGUGACACUGUUAAAUCACAUGGCAGAUUGUACCAACAUAUUAACAGUCAUACCUCACUAAGAUUAAUGGGAGUAUUUCUCAGGGAACUAGCUUGGCUCUGCAUUUCAGGAGUUCUCCUUUCCAGCAUCAAGCUCUGCCCUCUUCUUUCAGAAACACUGAGCAGCUGUCUGCACAAGUCUUCUGGCCCAGCCUCACCUAUCCUAGCAGCAAGCAAGCCCCUGUGAACAAAAUCUGCAUUUUGUAUUAGAAGAGCUUAUUCUGAGCUACAGAAACUGAGGGACAAGUCGUGCCACAGCAGUUUACAGAACUGUUACCACCUAACCCUUUGCUCACUGCUGGCACCAGGGAACAGUUGGUGACAGGGGCUGAGCCAUGCACAGUCAGAUUGAGCCUGACAUGCAGCCAAGCUGUGUCACUCACACAUCCCUGUGCUGGAGGUGGUUACCUGGCACAGGUGACACGUUUAGCUUGGGAGAUGACUUACAAACCACAGCUCAGCUGCCAACAGAUCCUGUCUUAGUCCUACCAUGAAAGGUGUUGACACUGUGUAUGGUUUAUUUGUCUAAACCCAUGGUUUGCUUUGGUGUGCCUCUACUAAUCACUUUUGUUGAGGGCUGGAA
rnacentral:lncRNA from 1 species